rnacentral:misc_RNA from 1 species
GAUGAAGAACGUAGCGAAAUGCGAUAAGUAGUGUGAAUUGCAGAAUUCAGUGAAUCAUCGAAUCUUUGAACGCACAUUGCGCCCCUUGGUAUUCCAUGGGGCAUGCCUGUUCGAACGUCAUUUGUACCUUCAAGCUCUGCUUGGUGUUGGGUGUUUGUCUCGCCUCUGCGUGUAGACUCGCCUUAAAACAAUUGGCAGCCGGCGUAUUGAUUUCGGAGCGCAGUACAUCUCGCGCUUUGCACUCAUAACGACGACGUCCAAAAGUACAUUUUUACACUCUUGACCUCGGAUCAGGUAGGGAUACCCGCUGAACUUAAGCAUAUCAAUAAGCGGAGGA